GGGGAUGAUCGGUUUCGACAUUGCCUGCGCAAUUGUGAGAAGCGGGUCGAGGAUGCAGGGUUAACUCGUUAACGCUCCCUGCAAAACAAUAAGUGCCAAAACAAACCGCACUGACUCUGCUUCUGCUUACGCCCUCGCGGCCUAAGUAAAGCAACUAGAGAGUCCGUCAGGCCGGGAAUGCUCUCUACCCGGACCCUGACGUCAUUUAGAGAGAUUGCUCCUACUCUGAGCCGCGGGGUGUAGGGGGACUUAAACGAGGGCUGGGCUCGUCGGAUUAGCUGACAGUGGCAAAUUCCGGAGCCGAGUAGAACGACUUCACUGGAUACACCCGUAGAAGGCAUAUGACCACAGCAGUGGACGGGGGUUCAAUUCCCCCCAUCUCCACCA
rnacentral:tmRNA from 6 species